rnacentral:rRNA from 1 species
AGUGAACGCUGGCGGUAGGCCUAACACAUGCAAGUCGAACGGCAGCACAGUAAGAGCUUGCUCUUACGGGUGGCGAGUGGCGGACGGGUGAGGAAUACAUCGGAAACUACUUUUUCGUGGGGGAUAACGUAGGGAAACUUACGCUAAUACCGCAUACGACCUACGGGUGAAAGCAGGGGAUCUUCGGACCUUGCGCGAUUGAAUGAGCCGAUGUCGGAUUAGCUAGUUGGCGGGGUAAAGGCCCACCAAGGCGACGAUCCGUAGCUGGUCUGAGAGGAUGAUCAGCCACACGGGAACUGAGACACGGUCCAGACUCCGACGGGAAGCAGCAGUGGGGAAUAUUGGACAAGGGGCGCAAGCCUGAUCCAGCCAUACCGCGUGGGUGAAGAAGGCCUUCGGGUUGUAAAGCCCUUUUGUUGGGAAAGAAAAGCAGCAGGUUAAUACCCCGCUGUUCUGACGGUACCCAAAGAAUAAGCACCGGCUAACUUCGUG